rnacentral:pre_miRNA from 1 species
GAGAAGGAACCCGUAGAACCGAACUUGUGUUUGUUUUUGUCACGGGUUCGCUUUUAAGGGUACCUUCUUU